rnacentral:tRNA from 1 species
GGUUAUAGCUUAGUGGUAGAGUGCUUGCUUGCCUAGCAUGUGUGAGGCACUGGGUUCGAUUCUCAGCACCA